UACGAAGGGUGCAAGCGUUACUCGGAAUUACUGGGCGUAAAGCGUGCGUAGGUGGUUUGUUAAGUCUGUUGUGAAAGCCCCGGGCUCAACCUGGGAAUGGCAAUGGAUACUGGCAGGCUAGAGUGCGGUAGAGGGUAGUGGAAUUCCCGGUGUAGCGGUGAAAUGCGUAGAGAUCGGGAGGAACACCAGUGGCGAAGGCGGCUACCUGGACCAGCACUGACACUGAGGCACGAAAGCGUGGGGAGCAAACAGGGA
rnacentral:rRNA from 1 species